rnacentral:rRNA from 1 species
AAUCAACGCUGGCGGCGUGCCUAACACAUGCAAGUCGAACGCGAAAGCCCCUUCGGGGUAAGUAGAGUGGCGUCCGGGUGAGUAACACGUAGGUAAUCUACCUUCGGGUGGGGAAGUAACCAGUCGAAAGAAUUGGCUAAUACCGCAUAAUGCAGCGGCACCUAAUGGUGAUUAGUUGUUAAAGACGGGGGAGUCGUAAGACCUCGCGCCUGAAGAGGAGCCUGCGGCAGGUUAGCUAGUUGGUGAGGUAAUGGCUCACCAAGGCUUCGAUCUGUAGCUGGUCUGAGAGGACGGCCAGCCACACUGGCACUGACACACGGGCCAGACUCCUA